UAAAGWGUCUUGUUGUGCGGUGAUUGUGUUGUACAACUUCUUACAUCACUCCAGCAGACCUGGAUCUGACGGUGUGGCCUCGAGCAACAGUGGUGGUCUAACCAUGUUUGAGUGAGCAGAUCAACAGACCAUUGCGAAGCCGCUGUCUGAGGGRGACUGACAGCUUUUGUACCACCUUCCAGCCUGCUUUGUGUCUGAACAAGUUCCCCGGGCAGAAAAUGAUGUCGAGCUCCACGAAGAGGAGGCUGAUUCAUGAAUAUUGUAAAUCGUGAUGAAGCGAGAAAUGUCCUUACACAUAAUUCCUGAAAAUUUUCUUUAAAGARGAACACAAUAAACAAGCAGGUUGUCUCGGUUUGUGUCACUUCACCCCUUUCUCCACCUCUUUUUAUUUUAGCAAAUGAAAGCAAUACUGUUUAUAAGAAAUUAGAAAGACACUGAAGACGCACUUUACAAACAAGGAAAUUGCUUGCUGUGUUCCUGUUAUUGUUGAGGGCGAAAGAGGCUUGUGUAUUUGUCUCUCCCACAUUCACCACGUGCUGUACUUUGUGACGGCUUUUCCUGUUUUCAAUAAUAUUCGAUAUUUUGCUCUAACCAGUUUGUUGUGUCAAACCACAGGCACGCCAAAUCACAUAAACAAAGUCUGUGUCAAUAAUAGAAUCUAAUUGACGUUUGCCCCAAAAUCAAAGAAUAACAAACACAUUUGGUUUAAAAAAAAUGCAGUCAAAACUAUGUAACUUUGGUUUUAAAUGACAAAUAUUUUUCAAACUCUGACAGACUUCUUUCUGAUUUUA